ACCACAGUGGGUGCUGUAAAUCGCGGUC
rnacentral:piRNA from 1 species